GGAGGUACUUGGCCCCGGUGUAGCCCUGCUCGGCCGCGGCGGCGAUCACCUUGUUGUACUUCUCGGCCCAGUACGCCGCGGUGGGCACCGCGAUCUGAGCGACCUGCGGGAACACCGGGAGGCCGUUGAGCGUGCGCCAGGUGGAGACGGCGAGGUGCUCCGCCGCCGGCUCGUAGCGCACGUACAGGUCCCUGGCCACCGGCUCCACGCGCCCGUACACGUCCUUGGCCACGGGCUCCACCUUGGCGAGCGCCGCGCGGGCCGCGCCCUUCACGCCGGAUCGCUGCGCCUCGGCGGCCAGCUCGCGCGCCACCUCCGGGAUGCCGCGGGCCACCGCGUAGGCCUGCGCUGACGCGGCCUUCAACGCGCCGGGGAGGUGCUUCUCCACCUCGUGCACCGUGUCAUCCACCUGCCAUUGUUCACGCACCAAGGUCAGCAAGAAGCAAAGAAGGCAAGAACGCACGGGACUCAUUUGUUACCAUAUGCUUGAAAACCACCAAUUACUUACAAACAACUACCAUUACAGCUGGAUUGUUACUAAGCAAGCUUAAUAUUACCAUGCAAACUCAUUUGUUACCAUAUGGUUAAAAAUGAUGAAAUCUACUACUAUUUAAUUGAAAACAAAGAUCAUUAUAGCCGAGUUUGUUACUAAGCAAGCUCAAGGUAAUAUAACCCCUUGCUAAUUUAGCCGUCGACAACAUGCAUCGUAGUCUCCGCCCGGUGCCGCUAACAUGCGCCGGAAUCAAGGGGAUCUGGCGCGAUGGCACUUGAGACAUGGGCGGAUUCCCCGCACCACCGCGGGAACCCCGCACACCCACCCGAGUAGUGUUGGGGUCGCAGCGCAGGUGAGCCGCACACGCCCCACUCGCGUGGGGGCCAUCAAUCAUGCACCGCAAGGAAAGGAAAAUAUCUAUACGGUGGCACAGAACCGUCCAAAACUACCGUGCGCCACACGGCGGCUGGAGUCGUUUCGGCCGCCGGUGUGAAACCGCCCCAGAUGAGCGCAGGCGCAGACCACGGAGGCCACGGUGCCGUGCUUCCCCGCGAAGCAACGGCGAGACCCGUGGCCGGACGAACAACUGCAGGAGUGAAGUAACGGGGGGUUUGGGUUUUGUGACUGGGCGGGCUAAUUACCUUGCGGUCGACGAAGGCGAGGACGUCGAGGGGCACGCCGUGGAAGCGGUCGUAGACGGGGCCGACGACGCCCUUGACCGUGGACUCGACGGCGUCGACGCCGGGGCGGAGCGGGCCGGCGUGGUCCUUGGCGAGCCCGUAGAGCCCCGCGAGGCACACCGCGGCCUGCGCCGCCGCCACAUGGACGAAAUCCAGGUACCUCAGCUUCGGGGCCCUCCUCGCCUCCUGCUGCCGCUCCACCACCACCUCCUUCUCCACCUGCGAACGAACCGACAGAUCAGACCCAAAACCCCCCCAAAUCCCAAACCAAAUCAGCACCGAUUCGUCCCAUUCGGAACCGAAAAUUGAGAAGCGGAGGGGAGGGAUCACGCUUACCACUUGGGGCUGGGGGUUGGGCUGCUCCGCCAUCUCGCGGAUCAGACGGGGUUUCUCUGGAACCUGAUCGUGAAUCCGGACUGCGGGAAGAAGAGAAGAGACGAGACGAUUUUUUUCUCCUGCUUCGCUGGAAGUCUAAAACAAACGAGGGAACGGAAGGGUUGGGGAAAGCCGGCUAUAUAGGAGGCGAGUGGUGCCGUCGGGCCGUCCGAUCGGGGCGCGGUCGAUCGAGGCCGUUUGGGACGGCGCCAGAACACUCUGGAGCGGGGCCGCCACGUUGGGGCUCGCGUGAGCGGCACGUCGCUGGGGUCUCGCGUCCACGUCGCCACCGCCGUGACCGGCCUGUAUCUUUUACUCGCUGGGGAUCGAUCUGUGUGCGCGGGUAGACGAGUGGUUGAAGGGCUUUGCCGCUGGGGCUGGGACGGCACCGGUUGGGCAGGGGUGAUGUGAGCUGAUGAUGUCGACCCCAAAUUCUAGAAGUCUCGGUUGGGGAUGCUAUAAUUUGGGGUUGUUUGGUUCUUUUACUUAUUUUUAGCAAUGUGUUGUUCAGAUACUAAUUAGAAGUAUUAAAAGUAAAUUAUUUACAAAACCUCUUAUAAAUGGAGGUUAAACGGCGAGAUAAAUCUAUUAAACCUAAUUAAGCCUAAUUAAUUCAUCAUUAGUAAAUAUUUACUGUAGCAACACAUUGUCAAAUCAUGGACUAAUUAGGCUUAAUAGAUUCGUCUCGCUGUUUAACCUCCACUUAUGUAAUGGAUUUUGUAAAUAGUCUAUGUUUAAUACUUCUAAUCAGUAUCUAAAUAUUCGAUGUGACGGGUGCUAAAAAUAAGCAGGAGAAACCAAACCAAAGAUUUGAAGAUAAUACGACGAGACGCUGCCUUUUGAUAUUCUGUCUGCAACGCCUGUUUUUCGCUUGCUCAGCUUCGUUAUUUGGCUAUGAAACAUCGCAUCGAGAUUAGACUCUACAAUUGAAGGCAAGCCUUCCUCAACCAGCGACGCUAUGAGCUGAUCAACAGGUUUAAGUAUGACCACUGACAGAUCACAGGAUGAUGCAUUGCAUUUUCAACGUUCAGUUCAGGGGUGUAGCACCUAGUACGAACGAAACCCUGGUACAGAUGAAGCGUUUAUUAUAUCGCAGGCCUAACAGCUGGUGGCUACGACGACAUGCCCAUGCGGGCAUGCGGUGCCAGAAUGAAUACGACAAGACUCACGCGCCACGGUCGAAAUGGCGCACAAAUGAGAUCACCACAACUUGCAGAAGCUCGCACGCCGGGAUAGGGAUAUUCCAUUGCCGGCACCGUUGAUGCACCCUGCAACUGCAUUCGAUCAAACCAUCCUGCACGGACCCACGUGUGUCCGAUUCCAGCUGUUCUUCAACUUUUUGGGCCUUUUUCUUCAGCUCGACGGAUUCAGAUCGGAUCCAGCCUUCAGCAACUGUAGUUCUUUACCACAUCGCAGCCGAUCCACAAGCUCGACUCAACAGUACAAUAGUCUGAUUAGAUCCACCAUCAGAAAUAUCUUCAUCACUUUCACAAAUCACAACUACCACUCGAUCUCAAUUGAUGGCCAGAAACUAUGGACCAGGUUCAUGAUGAUUUCACAUGCCGAGCAUUCCAACGGACGUUUGACACAGUAGGGGACCAAACGAAACUCCUGCCUUCUGCAGGCUAUGCCGGGCAGAUUUGUGCGUCAAGAUGCGCCACGACAAAAGCAGACGAGGCCAACUGAAUC
rnacentral:lncRNA from 1 species